GGUCUAUUCUUCUGAAGGUAUUUAAGCUUAAGAUGAAACUCGAGAUGGAAACAAGUUAAAAUCCUUAUGUUGUUUCUACUUUCGUGGAUUAACCUUGGACCUGCAAAGCCCCAUGAAGAUCUCUUUGUCUGCAUAUUGGAGGAAGGAAAGGUUGGGCCUGGAGUUAUGCAUGUCAAUCUGGUGAAAAAAAAACAUGUCCCUGGACGUGUGAUAGGUUGUAGGUUGAUUGGGCUGCAAUUUAAUGUUUCUUUCCUGUGUUCUAUUCCUAAGCAAUGCCCACGACUCCAACAUUGGUAUCGGUUUGGACAAUAUCAAUAGAAAAUAAAUGCCCAAAAGAUAACAGGCUGCUUCUCUCAAGAGUCAAGACUACAAGCGAUAUAUAUAAGAUUUCUGGUCAUUUACCCUAGGCGUGCCAAACAUAUCUUCUGCCGCCGUCAGAUCACGCACCUGACUGUCUGCUGAAACGCUGCUAUCCGAUUUUUAUUUCUAUGUUCCAUCUCUUCAGCUCUCCAUCGUCUUGUCGAUUAUAGAACGUUUUACCUUCUGUCGUUGAUGAUUGCUAUUUUUAUCCUCUUAUUGGCAUCGGCUCUAAAGAAGAGGAACAAAUAAUUAGCAAUUAUAAGUUGGAGAAUCUUCUGGAAGAUCAAACUCACCGGAUAAUGAAGGAAAGAAGCUUCAGUCGUCCAAGCAGGCUGUAACCAGCAACAAGGGGAAGGAGAAAAUGAUUGAUUUACAAGCUAAAGGGACCGAUAUGUGGGAGUUGCCAUUGAGAUACCAUAAUAAGGGGGUUACUAUCGCCUUCCCACCAAGACCCGCACCUCAAGUCCAUGAAAAUGCCAUGAUUUCCAAAUCUAAAGAUCAAUCAACUACGGAUAUGAGGACAGGAAUCUAAAAACGAAAGAGGAGAAAUAAGCAGCAAAAUAUUGUUGAACUUGAACCUUCUUUUUGGAACAGGAUCUGUCCACAAGAUGUGGUUGGCGCUGGAAUGCAUCUGAAUCCAGCAAAAAAGAAGCAUUCUGCUUGGUUCAGUUUAACUCCUUCCUGUGAUCAGAACAGAAAGAACACUCUGCAACUUCUAGUGGAACCAUACUUACAGAUAAUCAUGGAGGGGAACUGUAAUCCAGAUGUGUCUAUUCUCAUGAAUAUAUCGCGUUGCAACUUAAGCAUGUUCGCCAACAGGAGGUUGGUAUUUUCUUGAACGGGAAACUUCUUGCCCCGGAAAUGAAGCUACUUGAUGUGGUGAAGCAGUGGAUGGCUUUUGUUGAUUCAGAGAGGAAAAUAACCAAGAUAGGAAGUUCUGCCGAGAACUUCUGUAUGAAGUUGACUUAUGCUCGAAGAGAAUAGACAAAAGUAUGAAUUUAUUAUAAAAUCCGACAAAUGUUUGUUCCGUAAUUAUGCCAUUUAACCGAUUGACUUUUACAAUUUCUUGGUUAACGCUGAUGGAAUGAA